rfam:Nocardia asteroides NBRC 15531 DNA, contig: NCAST05.
GUCGGUCUUCGGUAGUGGCCUUUCGGCAGGCAUUUCCCGCCGCCGUCGGGCUUCGAUCGAUGAUCGCC